rnacentral:rRNA from 1 species
CUCAAGCCCGCACCAUUUGAGGGCGUGAACUAUAAGAGGUGGCGUGCGAGGGCAGUUCUUUGGCUUACCACCAUGAACGGUUUUCACGCCUCUAAAGGCAAGCCAGAGGGAGAGCUGACUACUGAGCAGGACCAAGGUUUCCAGGCUACAGACACCCUCUUUAGAGGUGCUAUCUUGAGUGUUCUUGGCGACAAGAUUGUCGAUCCAUUCAUGACCAUCAUGGUCGGUAAAGAUAUGUGGGAUGCACUCGAAGCCAAGUUUGGAGUCGCGGACGCAGGAAGUGAGUUGUAUAUCAUGGAACAGUACCAUGACUACAAGAUGACUGAUGACCGCUCCGUUGUUGAGCAGGCUCAUGAGAUUCAGUCGCUCACUAAAGAACUUGAGUAUCUCAAUUGUGUGUUACCGGACAAAUUCAUUGUCGGAGGCAUCAUUGCCAAGCUUCCUCCUUCAUGGAGGAAUUUUGCUACCUCUCUGAAGCAUAAGAGGCAAGAGUUUACUGUUGUCAAUCUAAUUGGCACUCUUGAUGUGGAAGAGAAGGCGAGGGCAAAAGACACAUGUGCUCGUUUCCAUGAGGGGAAUUCCAGUGCCAAUUUGGUACAAAAGAGAAAUUUCCAAACCCACAAACCCAAGAACAAAAACUAUGCGGGCAAAGGAAAAUUUGAUGGCAAGUACAAAGCCCCACAACCUGUCAACUUCAAGAAGAAGAAGGAUACUUAUAAGAAGAAAGGAAAGUGCCAUGUAUGUGGCAGUGAAGAACAUUGGGCUUCAUCCUGCAAGGACCGCUGGGACAUGCGUCAGAAUGAGAACAAUAGCAAGACCGCUAAUGUUAUUGUUGGCGAUGUUGACAUGAAAGAUGUCGGG